AGCAGCCGCGGUAAUUCCAGCUCCAAUAGCGUAUAUUAAAGUUGCUGCAGUUAAAAAGCUCGUAGUUGAAUUUCGGGACCAUCAUGUCGGUCGUGCCUCGGUACGUACUGGCAUUGUUGGUUUCUCCCUUCUGACGAACCAUGAUGUCAUUUAUUUGGUGUUGUGGGGAAUCAGGACUGUUACUUUGAAAAAUUAGAGUGUUUAAAGCAGGCUCACGCUUGAAUACAUUAGCAUGGAAUAAUGAAAUAGGACGUUUGAUUCUAUUUUGUUGGUUUCUAGGAUCGACGUAAUGAUUAAUAGGGAUAGUUGGGGGCAUUAGUAUUCAAUUGUCAGAGGUGAAAUUCUUGGAUUUAUUGAAGACUAACUACUGCGAAAGCAUUUGCCAAGGAUGUUUUCAUUAAUCAAGAACGAAAGUUAGGGGAUCGAAGACGAUCAGAUACCGUCGUAGUCUUAACCAUAAACUAUGCCGACUAGGGAUCGGAUGAUGUUAAUUUUUAAUGA
rnacentral:rRNA from 1 species